UACGAAGGGGGCUAGCGUUGCUCGGAAUCACUGGGCGUAAAGGGCGCGUAGGCGGGGCUUUAAGUCAGGGGGGAAAUCCUGGAGCUCAACUCCAGAACUGCCUUUGAUACUGAAGAUCUUGAGUUCGGGAGAGGUGAGUGGAACUGCGAGUGUAGAGGUGAAAUUCGUAGAUAUUCGCAAGAACACCAGUGGCGAAGGCGGCUCACUGGCCCGAUACUGACGCUGAGGCACGAAAGCGUGGGGAGCAAACAGG
rnacentral:rRNA from 1 species